GCCAUGAGGAGCAAACCAGUAAGCAGGACUCGCCCAACCCCCACAGUAGGACAAAUGAGUGAGGUGCAAUCAUUUGAAGUAAUGAAACAAAAGCUGUUCAAUGAGCCUCUGGAGAGAUGAAAGGCAAAAGAGAAAGGCCUCCGGCUAAAGACUUCAUGGCUGGGAAACUCAUGAUUUUUAUGCAGAAGUCCUUACUGCUGUGGCAUUCCAAAGGAGAAAGCAGUGCAUUUUUUCCCAUGAAAACAAAAAUGAAACAAAAUAAACCCAAAUCCCUCAGAAGAUAGAAGUGAGAUGUGUUCUGAGGACAAAUUGAUCAAUCUAUAAGUGAUCAAUAUUGAUGAAUUUAUCUGGUCUACUAUGGAAGAACUCAGUAAAUGGAAGAUCCUCAAAGCCUGCAGAUUCUAGCAAGAAACGCUCUGUGAUAUUUUUCUACAGGUUCAUGAGUUAGAAAUGACAGUGGGCAUUCAAGUGUGGUGUCCAGUGAGACAACUCGUCAUUGGCUUCAAGUAGGGAUCUGAGUUUACUCACGGUAUCUAUUCAUGGUGACAGAUGCUGUGACCAUUGGAUGAAAAGUAUCUCCAUUUAAGAAAAACAAACUUUCAUCUGAGAGAGGAGGCAGUUUACUAUAUGAUGGGUACCCCUCUGGGCUCUGUCAAUGUAGUUGAACUUCUGUUGAGGAAAUCUGAGUUUGUUGUCUAUCCUGUAGCCUUUGAUUAAGGUCAAGGACCAUUCAUGCCUUCAGAAUUCCAUUAGUAACUUUCUCAAGGGCUUGCAAUUGAAGAAAGCAGCAGGUAUCAGGGAGGUGCCCAUUUGCUAUGUACAGUUUUGCUAAUUUGGUUUUUCUAGGAAUGUCCCAUGGACAACAGUAGCCACCAUUGGAAGUUAAUUACAAUUUAACCUUUUUAUUUAUUUAUGAUUUUUGCUAUUAGUUGAACUAUCAAAUGGCUGAAUAGUAAAUUAUCUUGCAGUUCUUGUGUGAUGAAACUGUGCAUAAAGACAGAAAGUUACAAUACAAGCUUUGUAGUAUUAGUAUACGUAUGGGUUUUCAUAUAUCUACUAAGCUGGAGAUGGAUUUCAUUAUUCAACAUUUGCAUAACAGAAAGUGAGCUUUCAUUAUUUUCCAAUUAAAUAUUAUACCUAUUACAGUUUUCUUUUUUUAGAAAACAGACUACUAUAAAGUGAGAAUUAACAUUAGUAAGCUGACAAACUUUACUAGAUUAUUAUUAGAUAUAAUCAACAUGAAGAUGCAAGGAACCAAGUAAAUGAAAGAAUUUCUAAACUAUAAAAACAUGUUAGUGUUCUGAAAAGUUACAUGACCAAUAUAUUGUUGUGCAUAUCAUCUGCUGGAUUAUGAAAACAACUCUUGGUGCUUAAAAAAAUGAAAACUAAACUGGGUAGUGAUGCUAUAUGGUUUUAAUUGCAGGACUUGGGAGGCAGAGGCAGGCAGCCUCUGUGAGUUCAAGGCCAGUCUGGUCUAUGGAAAGAGUUCCAGGAUAACCAAAGUGACACAGAGAAAUCCUGUCUUCCAAAACAAAGAAACUAACUAAAACCAACCAAACAAAAAAGGUAAAAACAUAGCUGAAAGGUUUGAUUUUUAUUCUCACAUUUUUUUUAUGGCCAAGGAAACUGAUCCAACAUUUGUGUGGUGCAGAGUCCAAGAUAGUGCUUGCUCCAAAGUCAGUUCCACCAGGAGAAUGGGAUGUCCAUGGCACACUGUAUAGAUUGAUAUAUGGGGAGGCUGAAAGGACUGAUAGUAAUUAAGGGAAGCUUAAAAUAAUGAUGUUCUAGGUUAUGCCUAUUUCUAAAAUGUCCCCUUUCUUCCGUGUCUCUUGUCACAUCCUUAUUUACCAGUUUAGCUGUUCUAGUGUCUAUGACCUCAUUGGCCUUCUCUUACAGAUUCAUCACUUCCUUAUCUGGCAUCCAGCCUGGAAUAACACACGUUUUAUUACUGAGAAUAUCCCAUUAUGUCAAAUCAAUACAGAAAUUAUCAUUUUGGAAGGGAGAUGGAGCUAUGCUGUAGUAUGUUUCACUGCUUUCUGCCUCCCUGACUCUGGGCAAGUCACUUAGCAGUCUUGAGUCUGAGCAAGUCUUAGCUUUAAAUGAUAAUGAUGACAUUAUGAACAUUAAAUAUAGUGUUCACACAUGUCCUGCAUAUAGGAAGCACUUCAGAAAUGACAUCCAUUGUUAAUUUUUAUGGAUAUAUUAUCCCUGUUGGAUGGUCUUGCGCUCCCAUUAUGUUCUUCUUUAGCUAAUGGAAGCUGGCAUGAGGAUCAGGAACAUAGGAAGUACCUGAUAAUUAUUUGAACCAGUAAGCAUAUAGGAAACAACAAAGAGAGAAAUAAGAAGAGAUAUUUUGUGUGAGGGAAUGGUGUAGAAGAGUUGAAAGGGACAAGAAAUUAGAAAUCUCUCUGAUAUUACCAGAGGAAAGUCUUGCAGAGCAUAUUCAAUUGGGUUGGCUAGUGAACUACAAGUCGGUCAAUCCAAGUUCAACGGUAUCUGCUAUGGCAAGGAGUGUGGGGAUUUAGUGCUUUGGGAGACAAUGAUAUGCUAAAAAGUAGGAGUAAUGGAUAUUUUUUAGAAAACCAGAUUCAUCCCUAUGAGCCCCAGUGAUGGUUGGUUUUAAUGUCAAUUUGUCAGGAAUUAGAAUCACGUGAGUAGGGAGUGUCACCUGAAAAAUUGCCCUGAUUGUCUUAGUGGGUGAGAGAAAACCUACCCCAGUGUGAAUGGUACCUUCUGGGAACAGCCUAGACAAACAGAGAGCCAGACACUGCGAACAUUGUUUUCCUUUGUCCAUACCUUCAGACACCAAGUGGGUUUCCCAUUCCCAUGCUGAUGUCUCCAGGGAUCACAGAACCAGCAUUUCCAGGCUUCAUCACUGACCAAGGACUAGCCAUUCUCCAGAAAUGUUUAAGGUUGCAGCUCCAGGUUAAGACUUGCUGAGGCACCAGCCUCUGGGACUGAGUGAGUGCUGGGUUGUGGACUUCGGCUGUGAGACCAUGAGUGUGGGAUUCACUCCAACUGCAGGUGUACCAGCUUUCAGUACUGAGUCACUGUGGGCUUCUUUGCUUUUAAACUGAUUUAAUACAUUCUUUUUAUUAUUCAGCUAUAGGUUCUGCUGCUCUAGAGAAUGCUGACCUACUCAAACACUAACAACUUUAACAUGUUAACAUUUUUACUUGUUUAUAAGAGGAACAUACGUGUGUUCACUUCACCCCAAGGUUUUGAAACAUAAACUUGUGUCAUACUGUGUAUAGCUGUGUGAUAAGGAGAUAUUUUUGAGAAGGGAGGACUAGAGAAAGGUUUCACUUUGUUGCAUAGGCUGGCCUUGAACUUGUGUUUAUCCUUCUGCUUCAACUUUUCAAGUACUAGGCUUAAAGGCAGAAUCCACAAAACUCAGCAUAAAGAAGAUUCAGUGAAGAUAGUCUAUUCUGAUGAAACGUAAGGGUGUCUUAAAGAUGAUGAUUCAUGACUUUAGAAUAGCCAUAAAUCUUUGAGGAAUGAGCAAACCAAAAUUAGGAACAUAUGUCCCCUCUGCUCUUGGAACGGCACUUCCACGAGAGUCACCAGGAGUUAAGUGGAAUGAUGACAAGCCGCAUAUGGCACCAGAUCUGUGCUAAAUUAAUAACAGUAUGAGAACACAGUUAAACAGUGAUAAUCCCCUUGUUAUCCAGUGUCUUUUCCCUUUCCAACAACCUCACAGUACAUCGUUAAACACGCAAAAGACACUUGUUAAUGGGGACAGCUGACAUGUGAGGAGAAACCAUGUGGCCUAUCUUUUGAAACAAGCUGAAGAGGUUGAUUUGGGCUUCUUCAUUCACAGGACUGCAGAGGAGUCAUUUGGAGAUAAAAAAAAAAAAAAAAAAAAAAAAUGGGGCUAAACCUGACUAGCUUGAGGCACUCCAUCUGGCUCUGCCCCAUGCUGUUGCCAUAGCCACCCAUCUCCUAGCAACAAUGAAUAGCAUUUUCAUGUCUCUACAGUGACAAAGCGUGAGAGUGAAAAACAUAAGCACGGUCACAAUACACUAAUAAUCUGAGAGGUUAUCUCCUAAAUUAAGUUCAAUCUGAGGAUCCGCAUGAAUAUUUGAUUUCGUGGUUAUAUUUUCCCUAUGGUAGUCUUUUGUCUUGGUUUAAAAUAAAGCAGACUGACAGCCUGCUAUUAAAUAUAAGAUGACAAGUAUCAUUACAAAGGGCACAAUAAAGUUAAUCUUUAUUUUAAA
rnacentral:lncRNA from 1 species